GCGGGUAUGGUGAAAUGGUAUCAUGCGAGCUUCCCAAGCUUAAGGCGCGGGUUCGAUUCCCGCUACCCGCUCCA
rnacentral:tRNA from 19 species